UACGGGGGGGGUAAGCGUUGUUCGGAAUUACUGGGCGUAAAGGGCUCGUAGGCGGCCAACUAAGUCAUACGUGAAAUCCCUCAGCUUAACUGGGGAACUGCGUGUGAUACUGGAUGGCUUGGAUUUGGGAGAGGGAUGCGGAAUUCCAGGUGUAGCGGUGAAAUGCGUAGAUAUCUGGAGGAACACCGGUGGCGAAGGCGGCAUCCUGGACCAAUAUUGACGCUGAGGAGCGAAAGCCAGGGGAGCAAACGGGAUUAGAAACCCCCGUAGUCC
rnacentral:rRNA from 1 species